GAUGAACGCUGGCGGCGUGCCUAAUACAUGCAAGUCGAGCGAACAGACGAGGAGCUUGCUCCUCUGACGUUAGCGGCGGACGGGUGAGUAACACGUGGAUAACCUACCUAUAAGACUGGGAUAACUUCGGGAAACCGGAGCUAAUACCGGAUAAUAUAUUGAACCGCAUGGUUCAAUAGUGAAAGACGGUUUUGCUGUCACUUAUAGAUGGAUCCGCGCCGCAUUAGCUAGUUGGUAGGGUAACGGCUUACCAAGGCAACGAUGCGUAGCCGACCUGAGAGGGUGACCGGCGAAAUGGGGACGUAGAUAAGGCACAGACUAGGACGGGACGCAGCAGGGGGGAAUAUUGAAGAAGGGGCGGAAGCCGGAUGAAGAAAGGCCGCGGGUGGUAUGACUGCGUUAGGGGUGAAAACCGAGUUUGCAUGUGACGAAGCGCGAGUGACGGGAACGGGUAAAGAAGGACAGGCCAACUAAGUU
rnacentral:rRNA from 1 species